AGUCAGAGACGCAGCAUGUUCCAGCCUACAAGAGACAGCUACUAAAGCACCAUGCUUAAAAACCUUAUUUUCACCAGGAUGUAAAUGUUAUUUACAACUGCCUCUCCUUAUCAAUUGCAAUCUGAAGGAAGUACACCCACUCCCUGAUGUUUUCCUUGGGAGCCAGAAAUGUGUGUGCUGCGAUUUUGGGGCACUGGGACUAAGGAGUACAUAA
rnacentral:lncRNA from 1 species